GCCGUUUUACGCUAAGGUAGCGUAAUCAAAAGUCUAUUAAUUGUAGACCAGUAUGAAUGAAUGAACCUAAAAUUUCUUUCCCUAAAUUAAAUUUGAAUUUAAAUAAGUUUAAAAAAUAACUUAACUCCUCAUUAGACGAGAAGACCCUAAAAACUAAUUAAUAAAAGAAUUUUUUGGGGAAAAUUUUAAAUCUUUUUCUUUUAAUCAAAUCAAAUAAUAACUAAAAAAUAAGUUACUUUAGGGAUAACAGAGCAAUUUUUAAUUAAAGAACUUAUUUAAUUAAGGUAUUGCGACCUCGAUGUUGGAUUCUUGAAUCUUUGAGCUGCAGCAGGUUCAAAAGAAUAGACUGUUCGUUUUUUUAAUCAAGACGUGAUCUGAGUUCAGACCGG
rnacentral:rRNA from 1 species